CGAGUUUCAUGCCUGACAGCCAGCCGCUGCCGUAGGUCAGCCAUUCCACGGCGGGCAGGCUGUCCGGUAUACAGCGGUUCGCCAGCCCCUGCGCGUUGUACGCAUGUCUGGUCUCAUGCUGCCAGAGCAGUGCUUCCGUCUGCGGGUGAUGCACCGUCUGACGCUCACCGGUCAGGCGGCCUUUCUCAUCAUACCCGUAAUGCACCGUCACCCGGUGCCCUUCGCUGAUAUGGCUGAUGUCUGUCAGCCAGCCGCGUUCGUCGUACCGCCACCGCUCUGCGGUUUCACCCUUCACGGUGCGGUGCGUGAGGCGGUCUGCUUCGUCAUAGUGCCAGUGGGUGACCAGCCCCUCAUCCUCGCUGCGGAUAAGUUUGCCGGUCAGGUCGUGGUGAUAACGCUGUGUGCGGCCGUCAAAGCCGGUUUCCUGUAUCAGCCGGUCGAGUACAUCGUAACGGAAGGUGGUGUGGCUGCCGUUUUC
rnacentral:rRNA from 1 species